GUUUCAAAUCUUCCACCUUAGCCUUUAUUUUGUCAGUACCAGCACUUAGCUUCAAUUUGUAAUUGUUUAAAAAUUGAUUGAGAGCAUAGGGUGAUGAUGGGCGAAGAAGGUCGGAAAGAAGCAAUGGAGAGUCUAUCUCUUGACGACGAUGACGACGAUAACAAAUCGACGUCCAAAUCCUACUCUAAUUACCGAAGUGCCAUGACUUCCCUUUCCGAUUCCCACCAUCCUCUCUCCCCGUCAGUCGUCGCUACACCUGCCGAUUCCGAUCCCUUGUCUGAAACUUCCUCUAUUCAACCCCCUUCUCCUUAUGCCGACAUUGUUGAAGAACAUAACGGCAUCCAAAACCCUAACGACGACUCGACAAUGCCGGAGAUACCUCCCUCUUUAAACUUGGAGUAUUUGAAUAUCACGGUUUCAGAUCCGCACAAGGAAAUGGAAUCGGGGUCAAUUGUUCCCGGCAGUAAUACUUACGUUACCUACUUAAUCACUACGAAAACCAAUUUACCCGAUUACGGAGGAUCCGAUUUCAGCGUUCGGAGACGGUUCAAAGACGUGGUUACGUUAUCGGAUCGAUUGAGCGAAGGUUACAGAGGGUAUUUCAUUCCUCCGAGGCCAGAUAAGAGUGUAGUGGAGAGUCAAGUGAUGCAAAAGCAAGAGUUCGUGGAGCAGAGAAGAUCCGCACUGGAGAAGUACUUGCAGAAGCUUGCAUCACAUCCGGUGAUCAAGAAGAGUGAUGAAUUGAGAGUGUUUUUGCAGGUGGACGGUAAUCUUCCUUUGCCUACGACCACUGAUGUGGCAUCUAGGGUUUUGGAUGGAGCAGUGAAGUUGCCCAAGCAGUUGUUCGGAGGGGACUCAGGGGGGAAUGUGAUUGGGCCGCAGGAUGUUGUGCAACCCGCUAAAGGUGGCAGGGAUUUGCUGAGGUUGUUCAAGGAGUUGAAGCAGUCUGUUGCGAAUGAUUGGGGCGGGUCAAAGUCACUUGUGGAGGAGGAGGAUAAGGAUUUCCAGGAAAAGAAACAGCGGUUGCAAAAUCUUGAGCUGCAACUAAGUAAUGCAUCAAAACAGGCCGAAUUACUCGUGAAAGCUCAGCAAGAUAUGGGGGAGACGAUUGGAGAACUGGGGCUAACAUUUAUUAAGUUGACGAAAUUUGAGAAUGAGCGAGCUACGUUGAGCUCUCAGAGAGAACGCGCAGCUGAUAUGAAAAAUGUGGCUACUGUGGCUGUUAAAGCUAGCAGAUUGUAUCGGGAGUUGAAUUCACAGACAGUGAAGCAUUUGGAUAUUCUACACGAACACCUGAGUUUAAUGUUGGGCGUACACCAUGCAUUUUCAGACCGGUCAAGUGCUUUAUUGACAGUGCAGACUCUCAUUUCGGAAUUGUCUUCUUUAAGUUCAAGAGCAGAGAAACUUGAAACAGCAACUUCUAAGAUAUUUGGAGGUGAUAAAUCAAGAGUUCGAAAGUCGGAAGAGUUAAAAGAUGCCAUUAGGGUCACUGAAGAUGCCAAAAGCUGUGCCAUCAGAGAAUAUGAGCGCAUUAAGGAGAGUAAUCGAAGUGAGAUAGAUAGAAUAAAUAGAGAAAGGCAUGCUGACUUUGUGAAGAUGUUGAAAGGAUUCAUAACUAAUCAGUGCACCAGCAAGGAAUCAUGGAGGGAGGUGCAACUAAAAGUCUAGUUAACAAUGGUGGCUUAUACAGAGAGAAUUGGACAAGAGUGGUCGAAAGUUGCAGAGGAGACCAGUCGUUAUUCAAGAGAGAAUGCAUAAAAUUUCUGUGGAAGGAUGGCUUAUUUUCUGGAUAGUAUUCAUGGCCAAAUUGAGGAACCAGUUUAAUUGUAAUUCAAUCUUGGCACCGGUCGCUUUCUCAAUGAACUGGAAAGUGUGCAGUGCUUCCUUGCGGCUACCUGCCUUGACCUGUGCCUGUCUUGAACACGAGUGAUAACCCUUAGAAGUAGCCUGUUGAAACAAAAGCUCGAGAAUAAUAUAUCUUUUCCUUUGAGGCAUUACGUGCAUUUGCUCCUAUAGUUUUUGGAUGAGCUCAGUAUCCAGAUCCUUGUAUUUACCAGGAUCCUGCUUAAAGUUUUAAGAUUCAAGAGCGAAAUUACAUUUUUGUAUCUGUGUUUAAGGGUUAUAUGUUUUUUGUCUUAUUCCUUUCGUUGUGCAGAUAAUUCUUCGGAAUGGAAAAUGCUAGCCUCUCAAUGAUAAAUCUUGAAUGGAAAAUAUCAAGUUCCUUUCGCA